rnacentral:rRNA from 1 species
GAAGGCUUUUACCCAGUCUAGAACGCUGGGGGAAUAAGGAGAGGGCAAGUCUGGUGUCAGCCGCCGCGGUAAUACCAGCUCUCCGAGUGGUGUGGAUGUUUAUUGGGCCUAAAGCAUCCGUAGCUGGCUAAGUUAGUCCCCUGUUAAAUCCAACGAAUUAAUCGUUGGAUCGCGGGGGAUACUGCUUGGCUAGGGGACGAGAGAGGCAGACGGUAUUUCCGGGGUAGGGGUGAAAUCCUAUAAUCCCGGGAAGACCACCAGUGGCGAAGGCUGUCUGCUAGAACGCGCCCGACGGUGAGGGAUGAAAGCUGGGGGAGCGAACCGGAUUAGAUACCCGGGUAGUCCCAGCUGUAAACGAUGCAGGCUAGGUGUUUGGACGGCCACGUGCCGUUCUAGUGCCGCAGGGAAGCUGUUAAGCCUGCCGCCUGGGGAGUACGAUCGCAAGAUUGAAACUUAAAGGAAUUGGCGGGGGAGCACCACAAGGGGUGAAGCUUGCGGUUUAAUUGGAGUCAACGCCGGA